GUUCUUGUAGCUUAAAUUUACCUAAAGCACGGCACUGAAAAUGCCGAAAUGGACGCCAGUCCCAAAAACA
rnacentral:tRNA from 2 species